GAGACUUUAGUUUAAUGGUAAAACAUGCGACUUUUAAUCGUCAUCAUAUAGGUUCAAAUCCUAUAAGUCUUA
rnacentral:tRNA from 1 species